rnacentral:misc_RNA from 1 species
AACGCAUAUUGCACUCUCUGGCUCUCCAGAGAGUAUGCCUGUUUGAGUAUCAGUUUUAAUCUCUCACCCUCAAUUGGGAGUGAGGAAUUGAGCAAUCCGCUGGCAAUAAAUUGUUUACGCAGUUUAAUGAUUGAUGCGGUUGUUUGAAAUAGAUAGCUAAGCGGUAUUGACCACUGCUUAAGAUGACUAGGCGUAUUAGUUUCCCAUUUGGGAAUCCACUCGUGCGCCGGUGUAUUGGUCUCUAAAGCCUUUGUGUUGGUUGAUCGCUAUGUUUUUCUAAGUGUUCUUUUGAGCAUUUACUUAGUUUGACUUGCAGUUCGCAUACCAAACUUGAUCUUGAUCUCAAAUCAGGCAAGACUACCCGCUGAAUUUAA